rnacentral:rRNA from 1 species
AUUGAACGCUGGCGGCAGGCCUAACACAUGCAAGUCGAGCGAGCGGCGGACGGUUGCGUAAUGUAUGGGGACUGCCCGAUAGCGGGGGAUAACUACUGGAAACGGUAGCUAAUACCGCAUACUAUCGGCUACCCCAUAUGGGAUUAGCUAGUGGGUGAGGUAAUGGCUCACCUAGGCGACUAUCCCUAGCUGGUCUGAGAGGAUGAUCAGCCACACUGGGACUGAGACACGGCCCAGACUCCUACGGAGGCAGCAGUGGGGAAUAUUGCACAAGGGGCGCAAGCCUGAUGCAGCCAUGCCGCGUGUAUGAAGAAGGCCCUAGGGUUGUAAAGUACUUUCAGUCGGGAGGCGUUACCGAAAGAAGAAGCACCGGCUAACUCCGUGCCAGCAGCCGCGGUAAUAC